rnacentral:lncRNA from 10 species
GGUAAUCUCUGGAGCGAGGGUGGCUCUUUAGACUCAAACUUUGUCAAGGAGUCUGGCCUUUGUCUUAUGGCAUCCCAGAGUUAUUCAAAGCCCCUAAACAGGGCUUGUAAAUUUAAUUGAGGCAGCACCCUUGGGGGGGAAGGUCUGGAAGGGGACACACCUGGGAGCCACCAGAAAUCAACUUUCUCAACAGCUGUAGUAUUGUAUGCCUGGAUUCUGAAGAAAAGAUCUGGAUGGGACGACAAAGAAUCUACUGCAAAAGGCAAAGCCAGUUCAGCCUAAUAACAAAAUAUCCAGUAGCACUCUCAUUUCAAUUUAUCUUUCCUUGAUACCUGGACAUAAAUUCACCCUAUGUCCACUGCACCUUUGUAAUUAUUUCUUUCUUCUAGGUGUGAAGAAGCCCUGGGCUCAGCCAGAGUUCAGCAGAGAAUGGGUGACCAGCAGCAGAGAGGAGCUUCCCACUCCAGGGAUGACCUGCCUGCAGAGAGGAGCCACCCACCACAUGGCUUCCUGCUCUCUGCUGAGGGCUGAACACUCAUCGUGACACUGUGGCUGCAGGAAGGAGAUACCUACAGUGGGUCUCUGAGCUGGUCUACUGCUCAAUAAAGCUCUUCUUGGUUUUGCUCAUCCUCCACUUGUCUGCGUGCCUCAUUGUUCCUGGUCACAGGACAAGAACUUGGACCGCCGAAUGGCAAGUCUAGAAGACCUGUAAUACAAACUGGUCUGAAACAUGACCCUUGCUCACCACAUGGUGGGUGAAGAGAGGGAGAGAAGAGGUUUAGCCCUUCAAGCCAGGGCUGUGGCUCUCUCUUUAAGGCCCUGUGGUUCCUGGCAACUCUGAGCUUAGGGACACCACUGCAUUUCCUGCUGCCAGCUGAGGAAGCUGCUUGCAGUGCACCUGGUCCAGCCACAGCCUUGCAGAGCUGCCCACCCGACUGUAGCAGCUAGCAUGCCUGACCAUGUGCAGUGACUGGAUCCCAUGCUUACUCGCUCACACACCCCUUACCCCUCCACGCCUGGCUCAUCCUUGGCAGGCGUGGGAUCCAGGCCCACUGCAUGAGCCAAGUGCAGCCUGGCAGGCUGAAUGGAUGGAAUGAGCUGGGCAGGCCCAAGCAAAAGUCAAGCAAAGGUGCCACUGGCCACAGAGGUUUCUGACCAGAAAAGCAACACUUCAAAGAUCCUGUAACAUUUGGAGUGUUUCCACUUUGGGGCAAUAAUAAAUAAAACUUCCAGUAAUCUCCAUUUUAUUUUUUUUGUCUUUGGUGAAUGUGUAGACUCCAUGCUCAUGGAAAUGCAUCUCCAAGUAGAAAUGGUGGGUCGUAAGAGUGGCAUAAUAUCAGCUUUAAUAGAUAUUACCAAUAAUUUUCUAAUAUGUUUUUAUCAAUAUAUCCUCUUGCCAGCAAUGUUUGAGAGUUCCAAUUGCUCUACACACUAACCAACACUUAGUAUUGUUAGUUUAUUUAAGAAAAAAGUUUUAGUCAUUCUGAUAAAUACAUGUUGGUAUCUCAUUAUGAUUUAAAUUUGCAUUUCCCUAGUGAAUAGUACUUUUUCAUAUACCUACUUGUUACUAAAAUAUCUUAUUUUCUGAAAUACUUACUUAGGACCUUCACCUAUUUUUGAAAAUUUGAUAUUUUAAUACUUAAUGUUUUGAAGAAGCUCUUUAUAUGGAAUUAGAAUAAGUACUUUUCAGAUAUUCAUAUUACAAUGUCUUUUCCAGUCUGUGACUUGCCUUUUCAUUCUUU